GACGAACGCUGGCGGCGUGCUUAACACAUGCAAGUCGAACGGAAAGGCCCUGCUUUUGUGGGGUGCUCGAGUGGCGAACGGGUGAGUAACACGUGAGCAACCUGCCCUUGAUUUUGGGAUAACUUCAGGAAACUGGGGCUACUACCGGAUAGGAGCUCCUGCUGCAUGGUGGGGGUUGGAAAUUUUCGGCGGUUGGGGAUGGACGCGCGGCUUAUCAGCUUGCUGGUGGGGUAGUGGCUUACCAAGGCUUUGACGGGUAGCCGGCCUGAGAGGGUGACCGGCCACAUUGGGACUGAGAUACGGCCCAGACGCCUACGGGAGGCAGCAGUGGGGAAUAUUGCACAAUGGGCGGAAGCCUGAUGCAGCAACGCCGCGUGCGGGAUGACGGCCUUCGGGUUGUAAACCGCUUUCGCCUGUGACGAAGCGUGAGUGACGGUAAUGGGUAAAGAAGCACCGGCUAACUACGUG
rnacentral:rRNA from 1 species